CUCUCAAAUAAAACCCUAAUUUUGCUUUCUCCGCUACUUUAAUUUAUCCCUAAUAUGCCUUGUUUGUUUGAUUUGUUUUCUUCGUUGUUUUCUUCAUUUUUAUUUGGUUUUAAAUAUGCCCAAUGAUGGAAAAUCUAUGUAUAUUGAGCCGCUGUGAUGGUUGUUGAUUCAUCAGUUGUCUUUGUGCAUCACCUGAGUAUCAGCGGCACCUGCUAUUUUUUCUCCCCUUCCUUACCUCCCUCAGCAUUGCACUUUGCCGCUGCUGUUUAUGGUGAUGUAUGAAAGACUUCUAAUGAGUUGCAUCACUUCAAGUCGUCUGUGAUUUUUAAGCUAUGAGAUCUGAGGGCUUUUCUACUUUUUCUCUCAAAUUUGAAUUUGCUUACUGUUUAAUAUUUUUUGCUUGGAAUCUCUCAAUUAAUUUCACCUUUUCCUAACCUGGUUUAUCAACAAUUUGGUUUGCUUGUUGGUUUUGGAUCUGUUAUUUCUCAGAAAACAAAAGCGAUAAAACUAUAGUAGAAAAGGGCCAAGCGAUAAAACGAUAGUAGAAAAGGGCCAUGUUAGAAUUUACUAGCCAAAUCAUCAUUAUAUAUGUUGCUUAUUCCAAACCUAGUAUACCUUUAGCCAUGAAAGCUUAAUUAUUAUGACCAUGUUGAAAGUGAAAGUGUAAAAUGGAAGGGGAUUGAUUGGUUGCUUUGGUUAUUUUAAAAGGGUUUUCUUGUUAGUUCAUUUAUGGAUGGAUUAGGUCUAAAAAUUCAUGUGAAUCGUACGAGGAAAUUUUGUUUUUUCAAAAAUAAUUUUCACUAAAUGAAAUGUUUUUUGUCAACUAUUAUUAUUAUAAUUUUUUUAUUAAAAUGAAAUAAAUUUUGAAGAAAAUAAAAAAUUUCUCAUGCUCAAAUCAUACUAAAUUUUAAGAUUAUUUAUGUCUAUUGAAUCUUUUUAUUUGUUUGAAUUUGUGAAGCGAAUAUUUCUACUAAAUUUUGUCAUUUGAAUUUUUCUAAUCCAUCAAAAACAUAAUAUUUUAAAUACUUCGAAAAUAAUUCUAACACCCUUUAUCUUCUCCCACCCCACCCAACCCUGGAUUCUUCUCCAACCCCGCCCUUCCUUCUAUCGCCAUUUUCACAAUUAAUUUUUUUUCUUUAGAUAGCAAUUACAAAAUAAAAAAGAAAUUACAAAAAAUUAGUAACUCAAUUAAAUUCGAUCCAUAUCUAUAUACAAAAAUUUUUAAAAUAACAUUUCAACUAUUUCAAAAUGACAGGUGUUGUCAGAAAAAAUGAUGGUUAUUACCUUGACAUUUUAAAUCUUUGUGUACGUGAAUUUAUAAUUGAAAAUUUAAAUUAAUUUAUUGUUCUAAUUGUCGUCUUAGGGUGUUUGUGUAUGUGAAUUUAUAAUUGAAAAUUUAGAUUAAUUUAUUGUUCUAAUUGUCGUCUUAGGGAGUUUGUGGUGGUGGAAAGCCGUAGGUAGGUUCUGGUUUGUGGGGUGGAGAUGGUGGUUGUGGGUUGGAGGACGGCCGGGUGGGCGUUUGGGUAAAUUUGGUUCAGUAUUUUUAAAGUUCCGAUUCGAUAACUUGAUAAUGGGUAUUUGAGAGUAGAUACUGCAUAUCAUAUUUGUAAACAUCGAUUUGGUGAUUUAAUCGGUAAAUUAAAUCUUGGUAUGGUAUUUGAUUAAAUAAUAUUAAAAUUUUGUAAACAUCGAUUUGGUGAUUUAAUCGGUAAAUUAAAUCUUGGUAUGGUAUUUGAUAAAAUAAUAUUAAAAUUGAAGAUGUACAAAUUACAUUUAAACUUUAAAGAGUAUAUUCAAUAGAAAUCCUAGUUAUAUUCUUUUUUAUACUUUUUAUGAAUAUAUUAUCAAGGUUCAAGAGAUUAUUGACUAAUAUAUAUAUAUAUAUAAUAAUUUGAUGUUCGAUAAAUGUCGAAUACCAAAUGGUAUUAAUAUGUUGUAUCAAACUCAAUCUCAAAUAUUGAAAUGUUUAAAGUUUAUUCUCAAAUAUCAUAUUAAAUACUGAAUAUUAAUUAUCAAAUUUUUUGAUUUGAUUCAGUAAUUCAAUUUUUGGUAUGUUAUAUCCAGCCCUAAGGACUGGGAGUGCGUUGGAAAAACCUCUUUCGAUACCAAAAGCGGUAGUGAAAGGGUCUAUGGAGGAGGAGCCACUAGUGUUGGUCAAAGCAGAUCUGUUUGUAGGAGAGACAUAAAUAGUGUGAAGGAAGAUGGCGAUGGCGGCGACAACCGUAGGAAGAGAGGAGAUGGAGGAAGCUCUUUGUUAUGCUCUUGUGUUGCCCAUAUCGAUUGAAUUGGAAGUUGAUUUGGCUCUUUAGUGGACUCUCUCAACUUAAUAACUAGCUUUUGGGAUGCGAGUUAGGCCAAGAUUGUUACAUGGUAUCAGAGCCAAUCAUUCGACGCAUGAAGCCAAGACUUGGAGUGGUGGUUUGCGUACCAAGAGUGGUAGCUUGGACUCGAGGAGGGUGUCAAUUUUGACCAAAGAGGUCAUUAGUACUAUACAAGGAACCAUUGUUGUCCCACAUUGGUUGUUGCGCGUAAAAUAAACUAGGACUUUCUCAUCUUAAUAGCUAGUUUUUGUGGUGUUGUUACACUCUUAUUUUGCCAUUUUCUAUGUCAUUAUGCAUGCAAGUUUAUGGUUUUUUGGGUUAAUGUCAUAAUUAUUUAAGGUUGCAAUUUUAAGAUUUCAUUCCUUUGAUUAUGUUUGUUCUAAAAUUGAAAUGAAAAUAGUUACUUCUUUGAAUUUCAAAA